rnacentral:pre_miRNA from 1 species
UUUGUACUCCCUCCGUCCCAAAAUUCUUGUCUUAGAUUUGUCUAAAUACGGAUGUAUCAAGUCAUGUUUUAGUAUUAGAUACAUCCGUAUCUAGACGAAUCUAAGACAAAAAUUUGGGGACGGAGGGAGUACAUG